rnacentral:rRNA from 1 species
GUCGUAACAAGGUUUCCGUAGGUGAACCUGCGGAAGGAUCAUUACCACACCAAAAACACUAUUCCCGUGAACUUAUCUGUUUUGUCCAAGUCUUUGGCUUGGUCUCGUAGGUCCUCUUUGGAGGGUUUACAACAUUUAAUACCCCUUUUUAUUAAAUCUGAUAUAUACCUUGACAAUGAAUUUUGUUAAAUUAUUAAAUUAAAAACAACUUUCAGCAGUGGAUGUCUAGGCUCGCACAUCGACGAAGAACGCUGCGAACUGCGAUACGUAAUGCGAAUUGCAGAAUUCAGUGAGUCAUCGAAUUUUUGAACGCAUAUUGCACUUUCGGAGUUAUUUCUGGAAGUAUGCUUGUAUCAGUGUCUGUUACCCCUUCUCAUCCUCUCGAGGAUGGAUGUUGAGAGUUUAGUUUAUGCACUAAUCUCUUUAAUUACAUUAAUAGGAUUUAUCUUCUAUCUUUGCGGUAAUUCUCUUUAUGAGGAAAAUGCAAUACCAGAAGUGUUAUUCUAGAUUGGGAAACCUAAUUUUUUAUUAGACCUGAUAUCAAGUAAGAUUACCCGCUGAAUUUAAGCAUAUAACUAAGCGGAGGAAAAGAAACUAACAAGGAUUCCCCUAGUAACGGCGAGUGAAGCGGGAAAAGCUCAAGCUUAAAAUCUCCAUAAAUUAUUAUGGCGAAUUGUAGUCUAUUGAAGCUGUCAUCAGCAACGUUCAGUGGGUUAAGUGCCUUGGAAAAGGUCAGCAGAGAGGGUGAUACUCCCGUCUUUACCUGUUGAAUGUUUGCGUACGAUACGUUUUCAAAGAGUCGAGUUGCUUGGGAAUGCAGCUCAAAGUAGGAGGUAAAUUCCUUCUAAAGCUAAAUAUAGGUGCGAGACCGAUAGCGAACAAGUACCGUGAGGGAAAGAUGAAAAGAACUUUGAAAAGAGAGUUAAAGAGUACCUGAAACUGCUGAAAGGGAAUCGUAGCGUUUCCAGUGUCUUUGGCUGUAGUAUAUUUCAGCUUUUUAUUCGUUUAGGAUGUUGUUUGGUUAGUAGUUUAUCUAUGACCGGUGAUGUUACUGGAUGUUUAAAAGGUUGCCCUGUGCUAUAGUUUGACGUCAAAGUCAGUUGAACUUGUGGGAAAUGGUUAGUGAGGAGGUAGCUUUAGCUUGCUAAAGUGUUAUAUCUCGCUAAUUAGUAAUCAUGAAAGAGACUGAGGACUACAGUAUGCAAUAGGGUCGUGUUAGGUUUAUUGUUGGUAUUCUUAUAGGACAGCUUGCUGUGUUGUUUGAAUUAUUGGCGAUCGAUUUGAUGCACCCUCGCUGCUCGGGACUUUGACAAAAUGGAACGCUAUGUCCCGUCUUGAAACACGGACCAAGGAGUCUAACAUGUGUGCAAGUAUUGGGGUGAUAAACCCAAAUGCAUAAUGAAAGUGAAUGUUUUCUUUCGAAAACUUUGGUAGGAAGACUUCUUCUUUGAAGAAGUAUGCACUAUCGACCGAUCAUGAACCUACGCGGUGAAAGAUUUGAGUAUGAGCAUAUAUGUUGGUACCCGAAAGAUGGUGAACUAUGCGUGA